CCUCAGGGCUGCCUGAGCGGGCAGGGGAGGCCGGGGCUGGGCGCAGGCAGCGUCCAGCCGAGGGGCUGAGCUUGCGCCAACCCUUCCUUCCCUCCUGCUGCUCUCUCCAGCUGGCAGAGCACAGGAGCAGAGCGGCUGAGUUCCGGAGCCGGGCCCUGCGCUACCUACAGAGACCACAGGAGCCCCUGCGAGAGGCGGCCAUCAGGUUCAGGGGCAUGGCCGGGCGGUGCCUGAGGAGGCAGCAGCAAGAGCUCCAGCAUAUCCUCUCAGCCCUUCAAGCCCGGAGGCAACGUGCCAGCCCAUCCUGCCCUGACUUGGAAAAUCAAGCUGAGUUUCCCCAAGGAGCUCAAGAAUUAGGGGCAUCUUCUGGAUCCAGUGAGCCGGUGUCCCAGGAACAGCACCAGGAGACACCAAAGAAGACAUCAGCUCUCAGCGCUCCUGGAAGUCCUCGCACAGCUGAUGCUGCGCCCAGUUCUCAUGGCUUCAGUGCUCUCCCUCCCUAUUGACAGCUCCCUCCCUCCAGCCCUCAGACACUGCCCAUCCCCAUUUUUCCUCUCUCCUAUUCCUCUCUUUGAUAGCUCUGCCCCACCAGCCCUCAGACAAUCCAUUAUCAUUUUUCCCUAUUCUCUCCCUCCCUGUUAAGGCUCCCUCCCUGCAGCCAGAAGAUAAUGCCAAAUUUUCCUCUCCUCUAUUCCUCCCUUUUGAUAGUUGUGACCCACCAGCCCUCAGCCUGUGGGUCCAUCACUAUUUUUUCCCUCCCCUCUCAGUCCAUGUUAAGGCUCCCACCCUCCAGCCCCCAGACCCUGCCCAUCCCUUUUUUCCCUCCCUACUCAUCCCUUUGCUUUGCUGUAUAUUAAUAAACAGUUUGGCUUCUUCA